rnacentral:rRNA from 1 species
AACGAACGCUGGCGGCAUGCCUAACACAUGCAAGUCGAACGAGAUCUUCGGGUCUAGUGGCACACGGGUGCGUAACGCGUGGGAAUCUGCCCUUUGGUUCGGAAUAACAGUUGGAAACGACUGCUAAUACCGGAUGAUGACGAAAGUCCAAAGAUUUAUCGCCAGAGGAUGAGCCCGCGUAGGAUUAGCUAGUUGGUGUGGUAAAGGCGCACCAAGGCGACGAUCCUUAGCUGGUCUGAGAGGAUGAUCAGCCACACUGGGACGGAGACACGGCCCAGACGCCUACGGGAGGAAGCAGUGGGGAAUAUUGGACAAUGGGCGAAAGCCUGAUCCAGCAAUGCCGCGUGAGUGAUGAAGGCCUUAGGGUUGUAAAGCUCUUUUACCCGGGAUGAUAAUGACAGUACCGGGAGAAUAAGCUCCGGCUAACUCCGUGCCAGCCGCCGCCGUAA